AGAUCAACAAAAAUACCUGUUUUGAGGGCCAAGUUACCUACACAUUGUUUUUGGAAAGUGCUUCCAAGAAGUUCAGCAUCCCAACCUUGGACAAAGAGUCGUUGAUGACACAAAGACUGAGGUUGAUGAAGAGGUCUUUGAUUUCCUUAUGAAAAAACAAAACCUGGUGUGCCGCACAAGGUCCAAAUCUAGAUGAUUGCCUGAGUUCCUCUGCAAGCAGCUCCUUUACCAGCUCCAGUGGGGAUAUUGAAGGGGACUCUGAUGACACCGUAAUAUUGCAGUGCAGUCCUGCCACAAGACAGAGAGCUGAAAACACCUUUCUUG